rnacentral:rRNA from 1 species
UACGAAGGGGCUAGCGUUGUUCGGAUUUACUGGGCGUAAAGCGCACGUAGGCGGAUCGUUAAGUCGGGGGUGAAAUCCUGGAGCUCAACUCCAGAACUGCCUUCGAUACUGGCGAUCUCGAGUCCGGAAGAGGUGAGUGGAACUCCUAGUGUAGAGGUGGAAUCGUAGAUAUUAGGAAGAACACCAGUGGCGAAGGCGGCUCACUGGUCCGGUACUGACGCUGAGGUGCGAAAGCGUGGGGAGCAAACAGG